ACACCCCCGGUCCGUGUUCCAGGUGCCUGCUGCCCGGGAUGUCUCUGGAGCUCACCUUCCUGGGCACGGGCUCGGCUUUCCCGUCGCCGUGCCGCGGAGCCUCGGCGCUGGUGCUGCGCAGGGAAGGGCAGUGCUGGCUCUUCGACUGCGGCGAGGGGACGCAGACACAGCUCAUGAAGAGCCACCUGCGAGCAGCCAGAAUUACCAAGAUUUUCAUCACUCACCUUCACGGUGACCACAUUUUUGGACUUCCUGGGCUGCUGUGCACGCUCAGCCUCCAGACGAGCCCUGAUGGCAGCAAGGCACCCAUUGAUAUUUACGGGCCCCUGGGGCUGCGGAGCUUCCUCUGGAGGAGCCUGGAGCUCUCCCACUCCCAGCCCCUGCUGCCCUACACCGUCACCGAGCUGGUCCCCACGCGGGACCAGUGCCCCCCAGAAGAAUUUAGGGACUUCUCUGGCUUGGACCGAGACGAGGCGCUUGCCCAGGCGCCUCCAGGGAGAGUUCUGCACCUGGAUCCAGAAGAAGACUCCUACUUGCUGCUGGAGGAUGAGCAGCUGGUUGUGAGAGCCUUCCGCCUCUUCCACCGCGUGCCCUCCUUCGGCUUCGUGCUGGAAGAGAAGCCCCGGCCUGGGAAGCUCAAUGUGCAGACACUGCAAGAGCUUGGGGUCCCGCCAGGUCCCUUGUACGGGAAGGUGAAGAGCGGCGAAGUCAUCGUGCUGGAGAACGGGGCGCGGAUACAUCCCGGCGACGUGCUGGGGCCGCCGGUUCCGGGCAGGAAGGUCUGCGUGCUGGGCGACUGCGCGGGGCCCGUGGGGCCGGGGGCCGCGCGGCUCUGCUGGGGCGCAGACCUGCUGGUGCACGAGGCCACGCUGGGGGACAGCCAGCGGGACAAGGCGCGCCAGCGCGGGCACAGCACCCCCGGCACGGCCGCGGCGUUCGCCCGCGGCUGCCGCGCCACGAGGCUGGUGCUGACCCACUUCAGCCAGCGGUACCGGCCCGGCGAGCCCCACGGCGGCCACGAGGAGCUCGGCACGCUCAGGAGGGAGGCCGAGGCCGUGAUGGGGGACCGGGAGGUGACGCUGGCCGAGGACUUCAUGACCAUCGAGAUCCCAAUGAAAAACUGAAACACGAGGACUUUGUGACCACAGAGAUCCCAGUGAAAAACUGAAACACGAGGACUUUGCGACCACAGAGAUCCCAAUGAAACAGUGAGAACAAGGGACUUCCUAAUGAGAUCCCAAUGAAACAGGGAAAACCAAGGACUUCCUAAUGAGAUCCCAAUGAAACAGUGAGAACCAAGGACUUCCUAAUGAGAUCCCAAUGAAACAGGGAAAACCAAGGACUUCCUAAUGAGAUCCCAAUGAAACAGGGAAAACCAAGGACUUCCUAAUGAGAUCCCAGUGAAACAGUGAGAACAAGGGAUUUCCCAAUGAGAUCCCAAUGAAACAGUGAGAACCAAGGACUCCCUAAUGAGAUCCCAAUGAAACAGGGAAAACCAAGGACUUCCUAAUGAGAUCCCAAUGAAACAGUGAGAACCAAGGACUUCCUAAUGAGAUCCCAAUGAAACAGGGAAAACCAAGGACUUCCUAAUGAGAUCCCAAUGAAACAGGGAAAACCAAGGACUUCCUAAUGAGAUCCCAAUGAAACAGUGAGAACCAAGGACUGCAUAGCAAGAUCCCAAUGAAAAAGUGAAAACAAAGGACUUUAGAGAUCCUGAGAUCCUGAUUAAAAAGUGAAAACUCAGGAUUUGUGACCACAGAAAUCCCAAUGAAAAAGUGAAAAAUGAGAACUUUGUGACCACAGAAAUCCCAAUGAAAAAGUGAAAAAUGAGGACUUUGUGACCACAGAGAUCUCAAUGAAACAGUGAGAACCGAGGACUUCCUAAUGAGAUCCCAGUGAAACAGUGAGAACUGAGGGCUUCAUGACAAGAUCCCAAUUAAACAGUGAAAAACGAGGACUUUGUGACCACAGAGAUCCCAGUGAAACAGUGAAAACUCAGGACUUCGUGAGCCCAGUGAAAACUGAGGCCUUCAUGACAAGGUCCCUGAAGAAUCGAGUUUCCUGGGCUGCUGGGGUCCACUCUGGCUAGCUACAGACCCUUGCCCACACGAUAAUUCAUAGAUGAAGAUUCCAGCAGGAAGCAAUCCUUGAGGAGGCUGCCCUGGGUUUCGCCGGCAGCCGGGGCCAGGUCGGAGUGCAGCGGCAGCGCCGGAGCUCCGCUGGCUGGGCUGCACCAAGCCGGGGACGGGAGGAGAAGGGCUGACAUUCCCGGUUCUUGGAACCCAGCACAUCCCUCUGGAUGGCUCAAAAUCCUGGCAGGGGCUCGGAGACCCUGGCAGGAAGCCAGAGACACCUGGGAAUUCGAUCUCAACCCGUGGGGCAAAUUACCAACCUUGUGUGAAGAAUCACAGGGCACAGAAGUGUAAGGGGCACAGCAGUGGUUGUCACAGGGUGAAAGGUGGAAUUUUGAAGAAUUUCACUAUGGGGGUCGAGGGACAAGAUGGAGGGAUUUGGGCGUUGUCCUGCCCUUCUCCCUUCUUCUUCCCAGCCUCCAUCUGCUUGGAGAUGGUGGCACUUUGGGAUUGGUGUGGAGUAGAAAGUCACUGUCUAGCACAGGGGAUAGGCACUGGGACAUAACUGUAAAUAUCAAAUACGUAGUUUAUAUUAUAAGAGACAACACCAGGCAGUGUGCCUCGGACUGACCUGCAGAACAGACCUCAGCGGGCCAGACAGAAAAUGUUUUAGAU